rnacentral:rRNA from 1 species
UGGGGAAUUUUGGACAAUGGGCGCAAGCCUGAUCCAGCAAUGCCGCGUGAGUGAAGAAGGCCUUCGGGUUGUAAAGCUCUUUUGUCAGGGAAGAAACGGUGGGAGCUAAUAUCUCUUGCUAAUGACGGUACCUGAAGAAUAAGCACCGGCUAACUACGUGCCAGCAGCCGCGGUAAUACGUAGGGUGCAAGCGUUAAUCGGAAUUACUGGGCGUAAAGCGUGCGCAGGCGGUUUUGUAAGUUUGUCGUGAAAGCCCCGGGCUCAACCUGGGAAUGGCGAUGAAGACUGCAAGGCUUGAAUCCGGCAGAGGGGGGUAGAAUUCCACGUGUAGCAGUGAAAUGCGUAGAGAUGUGGAGGAACACCGAUGGCGAAGGCAGCCCCCUGGGUCAAGAUUGACGCUCAUGCACGAAAGCGUGGGGAGCAAACAGGAUUAGAUACCCACGUAGUCCCUGAGCGGGCUGGCAAGGCGCAU